AAAAAGAUAAACCCUAAUUUCCGUGUUCAACGUUUGACCGUCCGUCUUAUUUGAAAAAAUUAUGAAAAAAAAUAAAAAAAAAACAAGUCACGCAUAAAAUAUUAAUCAUAUUUUAUCAUCGAACAACAAUGAAAAUACGAAUUAUAAAAAAAAAUUCAUAUAAGACGGACAGUCAAAGUUGAACACAGAAACCCAGGGUUUGUCUUUUU
rfam:Oryza sativa Japonica Group DNA, chromosome 3, cultivar: Nipponbare, complete sequence.